AACCUGGUUGAUCUUGCCAGUAGUCAUAUGCUUGUCUCAAAGAUUAAGCCAUGCAAGUGAAAGUAUAUGCAUAUUUUAUAUGUAGAAACUGCGAACGGCUCAUUAAAACAGUUAUAAUCUACUUGACAUUUUAUUAUAAGGAUAACUACGGAAAAGCUGUAGCUAAUACUUGCUUUAAAUGCUUUUACUCCCCGGAGUAAUUGCAUGUAUUUGUUAAGCCUUAUAAGAAAAUUUUUUAAUUAAAGGAAUUAUAACAAAGAAGUAACACAUAAUAUAUUUACUAUAUUUAGUGUGUAUCAAUCGAGUUUCUGACCUAUCAGCUUUUGAUGUUAGGGUAUUGACCUAACAUGGCUUUGACGGGUAACGGGGAAUUAGAGUUCGAUUCCGGAGAGGGAGCCUGAGAAAUAGCUACCACAUCUAAGGAAGGCAGCAGGCGCGUAAAUUACCCAAUUCUAAAUAAGAGAGGUAGUGACAAGAAAUAACAAUAUAAGGCCAAAUUUUGGUUUUAUAAUUGGAAUGAUGGGAACUUAAAACCUUCCCAAAAAUCAAUUGGAGGGCAAGUCUGGU
rnacentral:rRNA from 1 species